AGGACGAACGCUGGCGGCGUGCUUAACACAUGCAAGUCGAGCGGAAAGGCCCUUCGGGGUACUCGAGCGGCGAACGGGUGAGUAACACGUGAGCAAUCUGCCCUUAGCUUCGGGAUAGCUCCGGGAAACCGGAAUUAAUACCGAAUAUGACUUCGGCCGACAUCGGCCUUGGUGGAAAGUUUUUCGGCUAGGGAUGAACUCGCGGCCUAUCAGCUUGUUGGUGGGGUAAUGGCCUACCAAGGCGACGACGGGUAGCCGGCCUGAGAGGGCGACCGGCCACACUGGGACUGAGACACGGCCCAGACUCCUACGGGAGGCAGCAGUGGGAAUAUUGCGCAAUGGGCGAAAGCCUGACGCAGCGACGCCGCAUGGGGGAUGAAGGCCUUCGGGUUGUAAACCCCUUUCAGCAGGGACGAAGCGAAAGUGACGGUACCUGCAGAAGAAGCGCCGGCUAACUACGUGCCAGCAGCCGC
rnacentral:rRNA from 1 species